UUCCUACGGGACGCAGCAGUGAGGAAUAUGGGUUAAUGGGGGGGAGACUGAACCAGCCAAGUCGCGUGAGGGAUGACGGCCCUAUGGGUUGUAAACCUCUUUUGCCGGGGAGCAAAGUGCCGCACGUGUGCGGUUUGGAGAGUACCCGGAGAAAAAGCAUCGGCUAACUCCGUGCCAGCAGCCGCGGUAAUACGGAGGAUGCGAGCGUUAUCCGGAUUUAUUGGGUUUAAAGGGUGCGUAGGCGGACGCUUAAGUCAGCGGUAA
rnacentral:rRNA from 1 species